rnacentral:rRNA from 1 species
CCUACGGGAGGCAGCAGUGAGGAAUAUUGGUCAAUGGAGGCAACUCUGAACCAGCCAUGCCGCGUGCAGGAAGACUGCCCUAUGGGUUGUAAACUGCUUUUAUACGGGAAGAAACACUCCUACGUGUAGGGGCUUGACGGUACCGUAAGA